GUGGGGAAUAUUGGGCAAUGGGGGCAACCCUGACCCAGCAACGCCGCGUGAGGGAAGAAGGUUUUCGGAUUGUAAACCUCUGUCCUAUGGGAAGAAGGAAGUGACGGUACCAUAGGAGGAAGCCCCGGCUAACUACGUGCCAGCAGCCGCGGUAAUACGUAGGGGGCGAGCGUUGUCCGGAAUUACUGGGCGUAAAGGGUGCGCAGGUGGCCUGACAAGUCAGAUGUGAAAUACCGAUGCUUAACGUCGGGGCUGCAUUUGAAACUAUGAGGCUGGAGUGCAGGAGAGGGAAGCGGAAUUCCUAGUGUAGCGGUGAAAUGCAUAGAUAUUAGGAGGAACACCAGUGGCGAAGGCGACUUACUGGACUGUAACUGACGCUGAGGCGCGAAAGUGUGGGGAGCAAACAGGAUUAGAAACCCCUGUAGUCC
rnacentral:rRNA from 1 species